UAGAUACCCUGGUAGUCCACGCAGUAAACGAUGAAUGUUAGUCGUCGGGAUGCAAGUCAUUUCGGUGAUGCAGUUAACACAUUAAACAUUCCGCCUGGGGAGUACGGUCGCAAGAUUAAAACUCAAAGGAAUAGACGGGGACCCGCACAAGUGGUGGAGCAUGUGGUUUAAUUCGAAGAUACGCGAAGAACCUUACCUAGCCUUGACAUUGAUAGAAUCUUCCAGAGAUGGAGGAGUGCCUUUCGGGGAACUUGAAAACAGGUGCUGCACGGCUGUCGUCAGCUCGUGUCGUGAGAUGUUGGGUUAAGUCCCGCAACGAGCGCAACCCUCGUCAUUAGUUACUAACAGUUCGGCUGAGGACUCUAAUGAGACUGCCUUCGUAAGGAGGAGGAAGGUGAGGACGACGUCAAGUCAUCAUGGCCCUUACGGCUAGGGCGACACACGUGCUACAAUGGUUAGGACAAUGAGAAGCGAUACCGCGAGGUGGAGCAAAUCUAUAAACCUAAUCUCAGUUCGGAUUGUAGUCUGCAACUCGACUACAUGAAGCUGGAAUCACUAGUAAUCGUAGAUCAGCCAUGCUACGGUGAAUACGUUCCCGGGUCUUGUACUCACCGCCCGUCACACCAUGGGAGUUGAUUUCACCCGAAGCGGGGAAGCUAAACUGGCUACCCUCCACGGUGGAAUUAGCGACUGGGGUGAAGUCGUAACAAGGUA
rnacentral:rRNA from 1 species